rnacentral:rRNA from 1 species
CUUAGUUGCCAUCAGGUAAUGCUGGGCACUCUAGGGAGACUGCCGGUGACAAACCGGAGGAAGGUGGGAUGACGUCAAAUCAUCAUGCCCUUUAUGUCCUGGGCUACACACGUGCUACAAUGGCCUGUACAAAGGGUAGCGAAGCCGCGAGGUGGAGCCAAUCCCAAAAAGCAGGUCUCAGUUCGGAUUGCAGGCUGCAACUACGCCUGUAUGAAGUCGGAAUCGCUAGUAAUCGCGGAUCAGCAUGCCGCGGUGAAUAACGUUCCCGGGCCGUU